UGGGGAUGACGUCAAAUCAUCAUGCCCUUAUGUCUUGGGCUUCACGCAUGCUACAAUGGCCGGUACAAAGGGCUGCGAUACCGCGAGGUGGAGCGAAUCCCAGAAAGCCGGUCUCAGUUCGGAUUGGGUCUGCAACUCGACCCCAUGAAGUCGGAGUCGCUAGUAAUCGCAGAUCAGCAACGCUGCGGUGAAUUACCGGUUCCCGGGCCUU
rnacentral:rRNA from 1 species